rnacentral:rRNA from 1 species
UACAGAGGUCCCAAGCGUUGUUCGGAUUCAUUGGGCGUAAAGGGUGCGUAGGCGGCGCGGUAAGUCGGGUGUGAAAUCUCGGAGCUUAACUCCGAAACUGCAUUCGAUACUGCCGUGCUGGAGGACUGGAGAGGAGACUGGAAUUUACGGUGUAGCAGUGAAAUGCGUAGAUAUCGUAAGGAAGACCAGUGGCGAAGGCGAAUCUCUGGACAGUUACUGACACUGAGGCACGAAGGCCAGGGGAGCAAACGGG